rnacentral:rRNA from 1 species
UACGUAGGGUGCAAGCGUUAAUCGGAAUUACUGGGCGUAAAGCGUACGCAGGCGGCUAUGUAAGACAGGUGUGAAAUCCCCCGGGCUUAACCUGGGAACUGCAUUUGUGACUGCAUAGCUAGAGUCUGUCAGAGGGGGGUGGAAUUCCACGUGUAGCAGUGAAAUGCGUAGAGAUGUGGAGGAACACCGAUGGCGAAGGCAGCCCCCUGGGAUAAGACUGACGCUCAUGUACGAAAGCGUGGGGAGCAAACAGG